rfam:Brachypodium distachyon strain Bd21 chromosome 4, whole genome shotgun sequence.
UUUUUACUCCCUCCGAUCCAUAUUAAUUGUCUCAAAUUUGCCCAAAUAUGGAUGUAUCUAUUCCUAAAAAGCGUCUAGAUACAUGUAAUAUUUUCGACAACUAAUAUGGAUCAGAGGGAGUAUAUU